rnacentral:rRNA from 1 species
UACGUAGGCAGCGAGCGUUGUUCGGAAUUACUGGGCGUAAAGAGUGUGUAGGCGGUGCUCUAAGUUCGGUGUGAAAUCUCCUGGCUUAACUGGGAGGGUGCGCCGGAAACUGGAGUGCUUGAGCGUGGGAGAGGAAAGCGGAAUUCCUGGUGUAGCGGUGAAAUGCGCAGAUAUCAGGAGGAACACCGGUGGCGAAGGCGGUUCUCUGGGCAUGUCCUGACGCUGAGGAGCGAAAGUGUGGGGAGCGAACAGG